GACAGAGGGUGCGAACGUUGUUCGGAAUUACUGGGCGUAAAGCGCGUGUAGGCUGUUCGGAAAGUCGGGUGUGAAAGCCCUGGGCUCAACCUAGGAAGUGCACUCGAGACUCCCGAACUGGAGUCCCGGAGAGGAAGGCGGAAUUCUCGGUGUAGAGGUGAAAUUCGUAGAUAUCUGGAGGAACACCGGUGGCGAAGGCGGCAUCCUGGACCGGCAUUGACGCUGAGGAGCGAAAGCCAGGGGAGCAAACGGG
rnacentral:rRNA from 1 species